GAUCCUCCUCAGCAGAGGGACCUCCGCAAAGGCAGACUGACACCACUUUUCAAAGCCUCAGCAACCGCAUUGAAGCAGUUAUUGGUUUUCACUGUUGCCUGAUAAGCUCAUUCCCCUCCAGGUGCACGAAAGAUCUGGAAAGCAAAAUAUGAAAUGCACCCCUGUACUGCCUGCCGCGGUUAGGGUUUCUGACUAAAUUAGUUCCUGUGGAAGCAGCAAGCAAUGCUUCCCUCUAUGCUGGAAGCUGUCUGUGAUAGUCCCAUAAUCAAUGAGAAAAGCCCAGGGUUUGGGGAUUGCCCCAGAAAACCAGCCAUCCAUCCCCACCACCCUCCAGGAUGGGGAUUCAGAAGCACUCAGGAAAGUGCCCAAGAUGGCGGCCCAUCAAGAAGCCAGCACCAGGCCAAAGG
rnacentral:lncRNA from 1 species